UUUCUUGCGGUCGCUACAUCAUCAUGAUUGAUCUUCUAGCACACCGACUUGUUAGAAAAGUAUACAAUUUUGUCGCCAAUGCUGUCCUUGUCUUCUUCGAUGGACUGUUGUAUCGGAUCAAAAAGCAAAAGUUGUAUACUUUUCCAACAAGUCGGUGUGCUAGAAGAUCAAUCAUGAUGAUGUAGCCACAUUAUCAGA